rnacentral:lncRNA from 1 species
AUGUUCUCAUUGUUCCAUAGGACAAAAGACUUGGAUGCAGACUGCAGGGACUGCAAUUUCAGUUCCCUUGAACUCCAAUUCAUGGGGCUGAGGGUCAAGGGACACCAGAGUCUUCAGCUCUUCUUCAGGAGACAAAAGACCCCCAAGGAAAAGCAGCCUGUGUGCAACCCUUCUGCUACGCUCCCAGUCCACCCUGUACAUCAGCGGGCCACCGGCACACACGAGCGACCGGGGCGAGUGCUCGACAUGACUAAUGGCAGGAGAAACCACACGUGCCCAACUGGAACAAAACCCUGAGGUCCCCGACAGAGUCAACUCGCUCAUGCGGUGGCUGCAAUAUCUGAUUGAUUCCCCUGCCUGACCCAAGUCACGGGGAGGCAGCCCGAGGGUUAUCUCGGCUCAGCGAUGUGACCCGCUCUGGAGGGAUGUGACCAGGGUGACCUGGCUGAGAAUCUGCUUGCACGAAUAAUCCAACCCUACCAGCGUUGCUGAGCAGGUCACUGACAUCAUCUGAGAGACAGUAAGAAAACCCAGAACCGCUUUUUAUAUCCAAAGGAUAUAAAAAAAUGAAGAAGAGGUAAAAUUCAAUGGCCAGUAUGGGAUAUUCCUGAAUACAUUGAAAACGUAAUUUUAUUACUCUCACUUAUUACUUAUUUAUGAUAUCACCAGAACCACCUGGAAUCCACCCAAAAGUCCUAAAAGUACCAAAAGUGCUGAACACUCCAGUGUACUCUGACUGCACAAACCAGCCUCAGCCCAGA